UAAGGGCGCACGGUGGAUGCCUUGGCACUAGAAGCCGAUGAAGGACGUUACUAACGACGAUAUGCUUUGGGGAGCUGUAAGUAAGCUUUGAUCCAGAGAUUUCCGAAUGGGGAAACCCAGCAUGAGUUAUGUCAUGUUAUCGAUAUGUGAAUACAUAGCAUAUCAGAAGGCACACCCGGAGAACUGAAACAUCUUAGUACCCGGAGGAAGAGAAAGAAAAUUCGAUUCCCUUAGUAGCGGCGAGCGAAACGGGAAGAGCCCAAACCAACAAGCUUGCUUGUUGGGGUUGUAGGACACUCUAUACGGAGUUACAAAGGACGACAUUAGACGAAUCAUCUGGAAAGAUGAAUCAAAGAAGGUAAUAAUCCUGUAGUCGAAAAUGUUGUCUCUCUUGAGUGGAUCCUGAGUACGACGGAGCACGUGAAAUUCCGUCGGAAUCUGGGAGGACCAUCUCCUAAGGCUAAAUACUCUCUAGUGACCGAUAGUGAACCAGUACCGUGAGGGAAAGGUGAAAAGCACCCCGGAAGGGGAGUGAAAUAGAACCUGAAACCGUGUGCUUACAAGUAGUCAGAGCCCGUUAAUGGGUGAUGGCGUGCCUUUUGUAGAAUGAACCGGCGAGUUACGAUUUGAUGCAAGGUUAAGCAGUAAAUGUGGAGCCGUAGCGAAAGCGAGUCUGAAUAGGGCGUUUAGUAUUUGGUCGUAGACCCGAAACCAGGUGAUCUACCCUUGGUCAGGUUGAAGUUCAGGUAACACUGAAUGGAGGACCGAACCGACUUACGUUGAAAAGUGAGCGGAUGAACUGAGGGUAGCGGAGAAAUUCCAAUCGAACCUGGAGAUAGCUGGUUCUCUCCGAAAUAGCUUUAGGGCUAGCCUCAAGUGAUGAUUAUUGGAGGUAGAGCACUGUUUGGACGAGGGGCCCCUCUCGGGUUACCGAAUUCAGACAAACUCCGAAUGCCAAUUAAUUUAACUUGGGAGUCAGAACAUGGGUGAUAAGGUCCGUGUUCGAAAGGGAAACAGCCCAGACCACCAGCUAAGGUCCCAAAAUAUAUGUUAAGUGGAAAAGGAUGUGGCGUUGCCCAGACAACUAGGAUGUUGGCUUAGAAGCAGCCAUCAUUUAAAGAGUGCGUAAUAGCUCACUAGUCGAGUGACACUGCGCCGAAAAUGUACCGGGGCUAAACAUAUUACCGAAGCUGUGGAUUGUCCUUUGGACAAUGGUAGGAGAGCGUUCUAAGGGCGUUGAAGCAUGAUCGUAAGGACAUGUGGAGCGCUUAGAAGUGAGAAUGCCGGUGUGAGUAGCGAAAGACGGGUGAGAAUCCCGUCCACCGAUUGACUAAGGUUUCCAGAGGAAGGCUCGUCCGCUCUGGGUUAGUCGGGUCCUAAGCUGAGGCCGACAGGCGUAGGCGAUGGAUAACAGGUUGAUAUUCCUGUACCACCUAUAAUCGUUUUAAUCGAUGGGGGGACGCAGUAGGAUAGG
rnacentral:rRNA from 1 species